GCCGUAUUAGCUUAGUUGGAUAGAGCGCCUCCUUGACUAAGAGGUAGACGGGGGUUCGAGUCCCCCAUACGAUC
rnacentral:tRNA from 2 species